CAGGAGUAUCCAAGAGACCCAGGAGUAUCCAAUCCACCAGUCUGCUAAGUGAGCCUGGUGUUGCUCCAGAA